rnacentral:tRNA from 1 species
UCAUAUGUAGUUUCUUAACAUAAUAGGGUGUUUAUUACAUACAAUUAGUAUUGCAUUUGAU